AACGAACGCUGGCGGCGUGCUUAACACAUGCAAGUCGAACGCGAAAGGGACUUCGGUCCUGAGUAGAGUGGCGCACGGGUGAGUAACGCGUAAGUGAUCUACCCCUGUAUUUGGGAUAACUAUGGGAAACUGUAGCUAAUACCGGAUACGUUCAUGUAGUUGCGAUUAUAUGAAGAAAGAUGGCCUCUGAUUCAAGCUAUUGUACAGGGAGGAGCUUGCGUACCAUUAGCUAGUUGGUAGGGUAAUGGCCUACCAAGGCAACGAUGGUUAGCGGGUCUGAGAGGAUGAUCCGCCACACUGGAACUGAAACACGGACCAGACUCCUACGGGAGGCAG
rnacentral:rRNA from 1 species